GAAAGAUGAUGCUCGGAGAAGAAUGAGGGGAAGCAAAAGCCUGUGUGAGUCUCAUGGUAAACAAGGAAGCCGGAAGCAUCCCUCUGGAACACAGUCAGAAACCAAAAGCAAACAAAACCCUUCAUGCAGCAGAGGUGGAGAGCCAAGGCUUGUCCUUGAGAAGCUGGCUCAGCUUUGCCGGAAUGACCGAUGUUAAGGGGAGGCAGGUUGUAUUGUAUGGGAACACAGCGAAAAUGGGAAUACUUAAAACAGCCAGAGUGUGGGGGGGGGGAGGAGAGAAGGAAGGAGGGGGAGAAAGAGCACCCCAGGUUCUGUUCUUGAGAAGGCUCCAAGUUUGAAAUUCAGUCCACAGUCUCUGGCAGUUGCUUUCGGUGGGGUCCUGGCACUGGACUCGGGUCCUGGCAGCAUUUUAGGUGACCCCGAGUAUAAUAGCAUGAGAAGAAACCUACCAUAUGUCUCAAGAUCUGUGAAUGCUUCAUAAUCAAGGCAUAGAGGGGAGGAGAGGUUGAACUGCACUCCGGGUGUUUCUGUAAUUCACCUAGUGGAAAAUUAUGGAAGCAUAUUUGAUAUAAUUAGGGUCAAGAAUGGAUUUGGCAUAAUGGAAGGGAAAUGGCCUGAACACAAAGCCAGUUCAGCUGGCUUGAUUUCUAGUCUGGAGAACAGCAAAAUCUGGCAAUAAUUAAUCAAGCAAGAGGAAGUGGUAGAGACCACGGUUGGCCUGUCCUCUGCACAAACCAAGGGCAAGUGACUGAGGAACUCCAUCAAGCAGCAACGGAAGGGUCCCACCGAAGACCAUGAUGCAUUGUGGAAAAUCUCAGGACAUUGGGAUAGGAGUCCAACUGUGUUCUACAAAUGAGUCAAAUGUGCAAUGCUGGGUUGAUGACUGUCACUGCAAUCAAUCAGUUUACUUCUCUCCACCUUAGUUUCCUUUCCCCAAAUCUAAAGGACACCGAACCAUUCAUUCACAUCUAUCUGCAUCUACAACACUGGUCUCUCAAGUCCACGUGUACCUGUGGAGCUCUGGACUCUGCUUCACACCAGUGAAGAGAAGUGUGGAGCUGCAGUGAUGAUAAAUUACCUGAGGGCCCUGCCUGUGAUGGUUGCUCCAGACUGUCACUUAGAAAGGCCUUAGAGUCACCUAGGGAACACACCCCUGGGCAUUGUCUGUGAGGGAAUUUCCAAGAAGUUUAAGUGAAGAGGGAAGACACAGCCUGAAUGGCAUCAUCCCAUGGGCUGAGGAAAAAGCAAAAGCACUGAACACUAGUGUUCGUCUCUUGAAGCUUUCUGACAGCUUAGGCAAGUGAGAAGUCCUGCCACAGUGACUUCCCCACCAUGAUGGACUAUACCCUCACACCAUGGUCCAGACCAAACCUUCCCUUCUCUAAGUUGCUUUGGUCAGGUAAGAAGAUAAGGAACUGACACAAAACCCACUUGAAGUCUUUCUCCUGCUGCUGCGUAUGCCAGCCUUGCAAAGCCAAGAAUGCUGGGGUGUCCAUCAAAGGCAGUGCAGAUGCCUGCUCAUGGGGACAUUUCCCGUUCCAUUGAAAAUGAAAGCCUUUCAGUUUCGACACUGCAUGUUGGCACUCGGGUCAAAUUGGCAUCGGAUGGGCUGUAAUCUGGUAGACAGCUGAGAGUUGUCAUAGCCCAGUGCUUAGCAUUAUGGAGCAGCCGGCUCUGAGCCUUGAGUAUGGAUGUAAGCCCACGAGUCCCUAGGAUCUCUUUUUCCCAAUGGCCCUGUAGUGGGACAGGCACUGUAGACGCUACUAAAAUGGCAGUAACUAACGACGAGUGACUGUUGAAAUCUGUGGAACAGGUACUUUUCAUAAUGAUUUGAACGCUUCAGG
ensembl:lncRNA